AUUUUUAAUUAAUAGGAUUUAAUUUGAUUUAAUUAAGUAUAUUUUUGUGAGCAUUUAAAUUUAGUGCUUAAAUAAUUUUUUGUGGAAAAUAAAAUUUAGCGUAAGUUUAGCAACCUUGAUUGUGCAUUCAUGCUGGAGCAUAUUUUAUGUUAUGCUUGUUGCUUUUAGUUAGAAAUUAUUUGCACACAAAACCCUAUUUGGAAAAAUGUUUUGGAAAUAAAAAAAGAAAAAAGGGAUCUCUCUCUCGGCCGAUCGCCUAUUCCCAGAAACGGCCCAAACUCCCGCAGCUCGGCCCAGCACACACGCGCCCUCUCCCUCCCCUUCUUACACUUACGCGCGGACCCCACGUCUAGAGUCGCUGACGGCUUGGUCCCACUUGUCAGUGUCUUCCCCUUUCUCUUCCUUCUUCUUACUCACGUGUUCAACUGGGACUCCAGGACGAUGGAUCGGUCCCGGAAACUCGGGAUUUACCUGCCCC
rnacentral:lncRNA from 1 species